AGAACCUGUCUGACAGCACUUCCAUGAACAGAAUGACCAUUUUCUGGAUUAGUGUUUGCACUAUGUCCUGCCAGUACAGGUUUUCCAUCUUCUAAAUUUAAAUCUUUCCUGCAACAAAAUAAUUAAUCUUUUUGCCAUAGUGUUCGUUUUAUGAAUCUUUUGCUGCCGUUUUUCCAAAACGAGACAGUAUUAAAAUAAAAUAAAAUAUUUAUAAUGUUAUAUCACAGUUUCUAUUUUAAUCACAAUUAUAUAUUUAUUAUGAGAAAAAAUUUGCACAUCAUUGCCUUUUUUCCUUUUUCUUUUCUUUCUUCCUCUUUUUGUUUUCUUGUCGUCUUUGUUUUUCUUUUUGAUCUCCGUCUUUCUUUCUUUCUUUCUUUCUCAAGAUCACUUGUAUUCGUUACCCCUAACGAAGUCUCACAAGAUCACGUAAUGUUUUUGGGAAUAGCUUUCGUUCUCUCAAGAAACUCUUGAAAUUCCAAUUAUAUACCCUAUUUUGUAGAAUCCCAUUUGUAUUUUUUUCCAUGGACAAUACAUAUACACUGAACGUUUUAAUUGUUUCCUUGUUUUCUUAUUCUUUUUUUAUCAUGAAUUUUUUUUAGAAAAAUUCUUUGACGAAAAUUAGGAUUAGAUGAAGAAAGAUAGUCACAAUGAAUACAAAUAAAAAAAA